AGCUACCUCAACAUAAUGUCCCAGCCCUCUGUGACCGCACUCCCCUGCUUAGCCCACUGUGACACACAGAGACUGAGGCUCAGAGACAUCAGUGACUUGCUCAUGGCCACACUGACACCAAGGAGAACAUCCCAUCCUCCUGCAGUGAGUGCACGCGCCCUAUAGCAAAAAACCUCUCCAAAAAAAAAGAACAUUCUACCCACUGGGCAGCAGGGAAACUCAGGCCCCUCCUCACCUAGACGACAAGGACCCCGUGCACGUGCACACACACACAACUUGGGAACCUCAUGAGAGUGAUUCCUGGAUCAAGGAGCUGGCUUCACCCUCCACACUGAUGCAAGUCAGCAGACAGACCUGACACGAAUCAGCCUGCUUCUCCGUCCAUUUCCACUCGGCUAACGUCCGUCAUUUUAAACUGUGUCCAUUCAGUAGUAGUUCACUGCAGAAACAAAUGACCUUCAGUUCCCAGGGUGCCAUCGUCCUAGACCCCAGCGAUGAACCUGGUUUGUAUCAAAGAC